GCCUCUGUAACCCAAGUGGUAAAGCACUGGACUUGUAAACAAGUUGUCGUGAGUUCAAUCCUCACAAAAGGCA
rnacentral:tRNA from 1 species